rnacentral:sRNA from 1 species
GUUUUGCGUUAAGGAUUGAAGUGAAAAUCCUUUUGCUUUUUAGCAAAAGAUUGUAACGGAAAGCCUGACCCUUG